rnacentral:lncRNA from 1 species
AGAGAGAAGAACUUAAAAAGAACUUAAAACUUAAAAACUCCUUCUAACAAUAAGACAAACAGAGAACAGUAUAAAACCAACUGUGGGCUGCUUGUAUGUCUUGUGUUAUAAAGAUAGAAAAAUUGAAGAUCAGGAUGAGCUCUGGUAGCAGUUGACAACCCUUCAUGAAGUGGAAUCUGAGCUGCGUUUUCAAAAAUGAGAAGAACUUAUCCUGAGAUGGAAUUUAAAAUCAAGACUUUCCUUGGGCAGUACUCUUAUUCCAGAUCUAGACACAAAGUUUUGAGGUGAUUUGUUUUGCAGCAAAUAGAUAACUAAUGCAUCAGACGACUCCUCACAAAAUGCAAACUGCUGUAGGAGAAAGAUGACAGCUUGAGUCACCACCAAAAAAGUAAGAGACUUUUUUAAAAAGAUUUUAUUCA